rnacentral:sRNA from 1 species
AAUCAUCAUCACUUAGACCAGUUGAAAACGCAGAACUAGAAUACUGUUGAUCAAGAAUACUAGAUGUUUCAGAUACACACGCCUCAAUAAUCCUAGAGGUUAACCUUGGCUGCCAAAAUAAAAAGCUUACCUCAAACAUCAAUCUAUCUUAAAUAAUGAUUUUACAAGGAAUUUUAAAAGGGGUUUAAAAACGUUAAUAAUGAUUUUACAAGAUUUUUUAAAAGGAUUAGUACCUGAGUAAUAGAUGCAGAAUGAGAAGCAAAGGAUUUGAAGUCGUCUCAGCCUGUAAUAAACACAAUCACUGACUUAAUAAUGAUUUUACAAGGAUUUUUAAAAGAGGUUUAAAAACGUUAAUAAUGAUUUUACAAGGAUUUUUAAAAGGGGUCUAAAAACGUUAGUAAUGAUUUUACAAGGAUUUUUAAAAUAAUUAGUACAUGAGCAGUAGGGACAUAAUGAGAAACAAAAGGAUUUGAAGUAGUCUCAGCCUGUAAUAAGCACAAUCACUAACUUAAUAAUGAUUUUACAAGGAUUUUUAAAAUUAUAACACAAGAAAGUUAUUGAAAAACCUGCUCAACUGUCACAGAAAUUUGCUCUACAGUCACACAUAACUGAAGCAAUCCUCCACUCUGUGAGAAUUUGUGCAUAAAAGUUGCAAGCUGUCUAUCUUUUCUAAUAUAAAGAGGAUGAGAUUGUAUGGUUGUAGACGUGGAGACUAGCUUGUAACUAAGCUUCAAAGAAUUGGUUGAACUAUCUAUUUGAAAAUCCUCUACAAGAAUAUCCACCAAUGCGUGAUAGGUAAUGUGCUCAUCAAUGAGCACUAAAGAAGCUCCCAAUUCAAUGUCUAAUUCAAAUUCCCAAGUCAUAUUGUUUGUCAACUUCCAGAAGCCAAAAACGGAAUACAAUUCUAGCCUUAUAACCUAAUAAGAUAAAUAACAACAAAAUCAACACCCACAAAACACUGUCACUACAGAUAGAAGCAUGGUUUACAAAUAGUUUUAAAGUGUAAGUAAGCGGCAUAGAAUAAUUUACAAAGGAUUUUAAAAGCUUUAAAAAGUGGUUAACAUGGUUUACAAAUCGUUUUAAAGCGUAAGUAAGCGGCAUAAAAUAAUUUACAAGGGAUUUUAAAAUCUUAAAGAAGUGUUAAACAC